rnacentral:rRNA from 1 species
AGAGUUUGAUCCUGGCUCAGGAUGAACGCUGGCGGCGUGCCUAACACAUGCAAGUCGAGCGAUCUUCUUCGGAAGAGAGCGGCGGACGGGUGAGUAACGCGUGGGUAACCUGCCUCAUACACAUGGAUAACAUACCGAAAGGUAUGCUAAUACAAGAUGAUAUAAGAGAUUCGCAUGGAUUUCUUAUCAAAGCUCCGGCGGUAUGAGAUGGGCCCGCGUCUGAUUAGCUAGUUGGUAAGGUAACGGCUUACCAAGGCGACGAUCAGUAGCCGACCUGGGAGGGUGAUCGGCCACAUUGGAACUGAGACACGGUCCAAACUCCUACGGGAGGCAGCAGUGGGGAAUAUUGCACAAUGGGCGAAAGCCUGAUGCAGCAACGCCGCGUGAGCGAUGAAGGCCUUCGGGUCGUAAAGCUCUGUCCUCAAGGAAGAUAAUGACGGUACUUGAGGAGGAAGCCCCGGCUAACUACGUGCCAGCAGCCGCGGUAAUACGUAGGGGGCUAGCGUUAUCCGGAUUUACUGGGCGUAAAGGGUGCGUAGGUGGUUUCUUAAGUCAGGAGUGAAAGGCUACGGCUCAACCGUAGUAAGCUCUUGAAACUGGGGAACUUGAGUGCAGGAGAGGAAAGUGGAAUUCCUAGUGUAGCGGUGAAAUGCGUAGAUAUUAGGAGGAACACCAGUAGCGAAGGCGGCUUUCUGGACUGUAACUGACACUGAGGCACGAAAGCGUGGGGAGCAAACAGGAUUAGAUACCCUGGUAGUCCACGCUGUAAACGAUGAGUACUAGGUGUCGGGGGUUACCCCCCUCGGUGCCGCAGCUAACGCAUUAAGUACUCCGCCUGGGGAGUACGCUCGCAAGAGUGAAACUCAAAUGAAUUGACGG